CAGCCGCCACGGUAAUACGAAGGGGGCUAGCGUUGUUCGGAAUUACUGGGCGUAAAGCGCACGUAGGCGGAUAUUUAAGUCAGGGGUGAAAUCCCGCAGCUCAACUGCGGAACUGCCUUUGAUACUGGGUAUCUUGAGUAUGGAAGAGGUUAGUGGAAUUGCGAGUGUAGAGGUGAAAUUCGUAGAUAUUCGCAGGAACACCAGUGGCGAAGGCGGCUAACUGGUCCAUAACUGACGCUGAGGUGCGAAAGCGUGGGGAGCAAACAGGAUUAGAUACCCGAGUAGUCCCUGUCUCUUAUAA
rnacentral:rRNA from 1 species